rnacentral:rRNA from 1 species
UUCCAGACUCCUACGGGAGGCAGCAGUGAGGAAUAUUGGUCAAUGGGCGGGAGCCUGAACCAGCCAAGUCGCGUGAGGGAAGACGGUCCUAUGGAUUGUAAACCUCUUUAGGCGGGGAGCAAUGCCGGGCACGCGUGCCCGGAGGGAGAGUACCCGCAGAAUAAGCAUCGGCUAACUCCGUGCCAGCAGCCGCGGUAAUACGGAGGGUGCGAGCGUUAAUCGGAAUUACUGGGCGUAAAGCGCUCGUAGGCGGUAUGUCAAGUCAAGGGUGAAAUCCCCGCGCUCAACGUGGGAACUGCCUUUGAAACUGGCAAACUGGAGUGUGUGAGAGGAUAGUGGAAUUCCAGGUGUAGGAGUGAAAUCCGUAGAUAUCUGGAGGAACAUCAGUGGCGAAGGCGACUAUCUGGCACAUAACUGACGCUGAGGAGCGAAAGCGUGGGUAGCAAACAGGAUUAGAUACCCCAGUAC